AUACUUACCUGGCAGGAGGAAUACCACGAUCAAGAAGGUGGUUUCCCUAGUAUGAGGCUCUUCCAUUUCACAGUUUGGUUGGGUUGACCCCUGUGAUUUCCCCAAAUGUGGGAAACUCAACUGCAUAAUUUAUGGUAGUGGGGGACUGUGUUAGCACAGUUCCCUG